GACGAACCGUGCAAACGUUGUUCGGAAUCACUGGGCUUAAAGGGCGCGUAGGCGGCUUGCCAAGUCAGGGGUGAAAUUUUUCGGCUCAACCGGAAAAGUGCCUUUGAUACUGGCGAGCUUGAGUGAGGUAGGGGCAUGUGGAACUUCCGGUGGAGCGGUGAAAUGUGUUGAUAUCGGAAGGAACGCCGGUGGCGAAAGCGACGCGCUGGACCUCUUCCGACGCUGAGGCGCGAAAGCUAGGGGAGCAAACGGG
rnacentral:misc_RNA from 1 species